rnacentral:rRNA from 1 species
UUAGAGUUUGAUCCUGGCUCAGGAUGAACGCUAGCGGCAGGCUUAACACAUGCAAGUCGAGGGGCAGCGAGAUCAGUGCUUGCACUGAUUGUCGGCGACCGGCGCACGGGUGCGUAACGCGUAUGCAACCUACCCAUUACAGGGGGAUAACACUGAGAAAUCGGUACUAAUACCCCAUAACAUCCAGGGAGGCAUCUUCUUGGGUUGAAAACUCCGGUGGUAAUGGAUGGGCAUGCGUUGUAUUAGUUAGUUGGUGGGGUAACGGCUCACCAAGACAACGAUACAUAGGGGGACUGAGAGGUUAACCCCCCACAUUGGUACUGAGACACGGACCAAACUCCUACGGGAGGCAGCAGUGAGGAAUAUUGGUCAAUGGACGCAAGUCUGAACCAGCCAUGCCGCGUGCAGGAAGACGGCUCUAUGAGUUGUAAACUGCUUUUGUACGAGGGUAAACGCAGAUACGCGUAUCUGUCUGAAAGUAUCGUACGAAUAAGGAUCGGCUAACUCCGUGCCAGCAGCCGCGGUAAUACGGAGGAUUCAAGCGUUAUCCGGAUUUAUUGGGUUUAAAGGGUGCGUAGGCGGUCGGAUAAGUUAGAGGUGAAAUCCCGGGGCUCAACUUCGGAAUUGCCUCUGAUACUGUUCGGCUAGAGAGUAGUUGCGGUAGGCGGAAUGUAUGGUGUAGCGGUGAAAUGCUUAGAGAUCAUACAGAACACCGAUUGCGAAGGCAGCUUACCAAGCUACUUCUGACGUUGAGGCACGAAAGCGUGGGGAGCAAACAGGAUUAGAUACCCUGGUAGUCCACGCGGUAAACGAUGAUAACUCGUUGUCGGCGAUACAGUGUCGGUGACUAAGCGAAAGCGAUAAGUUAUCCACCUGGGGAGUACGUUCGCAGGAAUGAAACUCAAAGGAAUUGACGGGGGCCCGCACAAGCGGAGGAACAUGUGGUUUAAUUCGAUGAUACGCGGGGAACCUUACCCGGGCUUGAAAGUUAGUGACGGAUCUUGAAAGAGGUCUUCCCUUCGGGGCACGAAACUAGGUGCUGCAUGGUUGUCGUCAGCUCGUGCCGUGAGGUGUCGGGUUAAGUCCCAUAACGAGCGCAACCCCUACCGUUAGUUGCCAGCAGGUCAAGCUGGGCACUCUGACGGGACUGCCGGUGUAAGCCGAGAGGAAGGUGGGGAUGACGUCAAAUCAGCACGGCCCUUACGUCCGGGGCUACACACGUGUUACAAUGGCGUAAACAGAGGGAGGCGAAAGUGAGAGCUGGAGCGAACCCCAAAAAUAACGUCUCAGUUCGGAUUGUAGUCUGCAACUCGACUACAUGAAGCUGGAAUCGCUAGUAAUCGCGAAUCAGAAUGUCGCGGUGAAUACGUUCCCGGGUCUUGCACACAAGGCCCGUCAAG